rnacentral:rRNA from 1 species
UCCCUUCGGGGUGCGUUUGGGGAAGCUUAGCGGCGGACGGGUGAGUAACGCGUGAGUAACCUGCCCAUAAGAGGGGGAUAACACAGAGAAAUUUGUGCUAAUACCGCAUAUUGAUAUCGAGCGGCAUCGUUUGAUAUUGAAAGAUUUAUCGCUUAUGGAUGGACUCGCGUCUGAUUAGAUAGUUGGCAGGGUAACGGCCUACCAAGUCGACGAUCAGUAGCCGAACUGAGAGGUUGAUCGGCCACAUUGGGACUGAGACACGGCCCAGACUCC